rnacentral:rRNA from 1 species
AUUGAACGCUGGCGGCAGGCUUAACACAUGCAAGUCGAACGAGUGGCGGACGGGUGAGUAAUGUCUGGGAAACUGGCUUAUGGAGGGGGAUAACUACGGGAAACUGUCGCUAAUACCGCCUACCCUAGGAUGAGCCCAAGUGGGAUUAGGUGGUUGGUGGGGUAAUGGCCCACCAAGCCGACGAUCCCUAGCUGGUCUGAGAGGAUGACCAGCCACACCGGAACUGAGAAACGGCCCGGACUCCUACGGGAGGCAGCAGUGGGGAAUAUUGCACAAUGGGGGCAAGCCUGAUGCAGCCAUGCCGCGUGUAUGGAGAAGGCCUUCGGGUUGUAAAGUUCUUUCGGUGAGGAGGCGUUAAUCGCAGAAGAAGCACCGGCUAACUCCGUGCCAGCAGCCGCGGUAAUUC